UACGUAGGGUGCAAGCGUUGUCCGGAAUUAUUGGGCGUAAAGAGCUCGUAGGCGGUUUGUCGCGUCGAAUGUGAAAACCCGGGGCUCAACCCCGGGCCUGCAUUCGAUACGGGCAGACUAGAGUUCGGUAGGGGAGUCUGGAAUUCCUGGUGUAGCGGUGAAAAUGCGCAGAUAUCAGGAGGAACACCGGUGGCGAAGGCGGGUCUCUGGGCCGUAACUGACGCUGAGGAGCGAAAGCGUGGGGAGCAAACAGG
rnacentral:rRNA from 1 species